UCAGAAUCCUAACACCAGUAUCCUGCUA
rnacentral:piRNA from 1 species